AUACGUAGGUGGCAAGCGUUGUCCGGAUUUAUUGGGCGUAAAGCGAGCGCAGGCGGUUCUUUAAGUCUGAUGUGAAAGCCCCCGGCUCAACCGGGGAGGGUCAUUGGAAACUGGAGGACUUGAGUGCAGAAGAGGAGAGUGGAAUUCCAUGUGUAGCGGUGAAAUGCGUAGAUAUAUGGAGGAACACCAGUGGCGAAGGCGGCUCUCUGGUCUGUAACUGACGCUGAGGCGCGAAAGCGUGGGUAGCAAACAGGAUUAGAUACCCUGGUAGUCCACGCCGUAAACGAUGAGUGCUAUGUGUUGGAGGGUACCACCUUCAGUGCAGCAGUUAACGCAUUAAGCACUCCGCCUGGGGAGUACGGUCGCAAGGCUGAAACUCAAAUGAAUUGACGGGG
rnacentral:rRNA from 1 species